rnacentral:rRNA from 1 species
AUUGAACGCUGGCGGCAGGCCUAACACAUGCAAGUCGAGCGGCAGCGGGAAAGUAGCUUGCUACUUUUGCCGGCGAGCGGCGGACGGGUGAGUAAUGCCUGGGAAAUUGCCCAGUCGAGGGGGAUAACAGUUGGAAACGACUGCUAAUACCGCAUACGCCCUACGGGGGAACGCAGGGGACCUUCGGGCCUUGCGCGAUUGGAUAUGCCCAGGGGGGAUUAGCUAGUUGGUGAGGUAAUGGCUCACCAAGGCGACGAUCCCUAGCUGGUCUGAGAGGAUGAUCAGCCACACUGGAACUGAGACACGGUCCAGACUCCUACGGGAGGCAGCAGUGGGGAAUAUUGCACAAUGGGGGAAACCCUGAUGCAGCCAAGCCGCGUGUGUGAAGAAGGCCUUCGGGUUGUAAAGCACUUUCAGCGAGGAGGAAAGGUUGAUGCCUAAUACGUAUCAACUGUGACGUUACCCGCAGAAGAAGCACCGGCUAACUCCGUGCCAGCAGCCGCAGUAA